rnacentral:rRNA from 1 species
GGCAGCAGCCGCGGUAACACCGGCGGCCCGAGUGGUGAUCGUGAUUAUGGGUCUAAAGGGUCCGUAGCCGGUUUGGUCAGUCCUCCGGGAAAUCUGAUAGCUCAACUAUAGGCUUCGGGGGAUACUGCCAGACUUGGAACCGGGAGAGGUAAGAGGUACUACAGGGGUAGGAGUGAAAUCUUGUAAUCCCUGUGGGACCACCUGUGGCGAAGGCGUCUUACCAGAACGGGUUCGACGGUGAGGGACGAAAGCUGGGGGCACGAACCGGAUUAGAUACCCGGGUAGUCCCAGCCGUAAACGAUGCUCGCUAGGUGUCAGGCAUGGCGCGACCGUGUCUGGUGCCGCAGGGAAGCCGUGAAGCGAGCCACCUGGGAAGUACGGCCGCAAGGCUGAAACUUAAAGGAAUUGGCGGGGGAGCACAACAACGGGUGGAAGCCUGCGGUUUAAUUGGACUCAACGCCGGACAACUCACCGGGGGCGACAGCAAUAUGUAGGCCAAGCUGAAGACUUUGCCUGAAUCGCUGAGGGGAGGUGCAUGG